rnacentral:tRNA from 3 species
GAGAGAUGGCUGAGUGGUUGAUAGCCCCGGUC